GUCCUAGUGGUGUCCAGAGUACAGCGGGAAGAGUGUCCCCGCGGUGGCUCGGCCUUCUCUGCUCUGAGAAGAGGAAGCCGGAGGCUUCGUGAGCGGGAAGUGGUCCAGAAACUGCUCAGGUGUGGAUGUAGGUGGUUGAGCAACAGACAUUCCUGCCUUCUUGAUUCUUCAUGAAGAAACAGCUCUCUGCAGUGCAUCUGAGAAGCAGCAGACAACCCAAAUUCUUGAGUCCCUGCCACCAUGAGGGAGACUUGGAUGGAGUUCCAGAUCCGAGCUUUGAUCUGACCCAGUCCCAGCCAUUGUGACCAUUUGGCUUUCAGGUGAUUGACGAGGACAGAGUCCCUGAGCUGCAAAGAGACUGAAUUUUGGAAACUCCGUCCAGAACUCCACAUAGACCCGCCAAAAGAGAAUGGGAGAUGUGUGCUUGAACAGUGGAACCAGUCAGCAUGCUAGGGUGAGCUGCCCAAGCGCUUGUACCCCUGCACCCACAUGGGAGACCCAGAGGAAGCUCCUGAUUUCCUGGCUUCAGAUCGGCCCAAUCUCUGGCCAUUGCAGCCAUUUAGGGAAUGAACCAGCAGAUGGAAGACCCCUUUUCUCUCUCUGCCUCUCUCUCUGUAACUCUACCUCUCAAAUAAAUAAAUAAAAUCUUUUAAAACAUGUAAUUGAAUGUUAACUAAUGUGAGGAUAGGGCAAUACAGAGAUCCCCAAAUUUUAGUUUAAUACUUUUGACAAAUACUCCCCAGUUGCUUAAAGGAAGAGCAACUCCUUGUGUGCCUGCUGCAACCUUGCCACUAUUUGAAGGGGAAGAGCUCAUUGCCUGCCCUGAGGGGCAGUGCUGCAUCCCCCUCAGGUGUGUUCACAUGACUGUCAGACUGUCACUUCCCUAAUGAGAGGAUUAGAGCUGGCAGAGGGCCCAAGACAAUUCUUUAUAUUUAUUUCCUACAGUCAGAUUCUUUAUACCUAUUUAAGUGCUAUAGUAGUUACUGUGCAUAACCAGAGCAGCCAUUCUCCCAGCCUCUUAUUUGUGACAAGUUCAAUAGUUUGUAGUGAUUCCCCCCACCAUGGAAAUCAGUUUGUAUUUAUUUCUGUGAAGGAUAUCAAA